GUGAUGAUUAGCUCUAAAUUUUGUUGAAUGACACACCUCUUCAUAAUUUUUACCAGUCAUAUCUAUGGGCAAGGUUUUGUUCACUAAUCUAUUGCACCAUUCUAAUUACAACUAGAAUCAGUAAAAAACUACUCUGAACCCCCCCCCAUGCAAACACAUUGCACACACAAAUGCACACACACGAGAAUGGAAAACACAAAAGUGAACAGAUAGGAGAUAAUGGGGCUAUUAAAAUCACUAGAUGGUAAGAAGGCGAUGGGUCCAGAUGAAAUACCAAGUCAAGUACUAAAAGAGUGCAGUGAGCAGUUAAUAGAACCAAUUCAGGACAUUGCAAGUUGUUCAGUCAAGACUGGGGAAGUCCCAGUACAAUGGAAAAGGGCACAUGUGGUCCCAUUUUAUAAGAGUGGAAAUAGAGAAGAGCCUCUGAACUACAGACCAGUUCCCCUAACUGGUGUCAUGUGCAAGCUGUGUGAGAAGGUAAUUAAAAGACAGUGGGUAGACCAUCUAGAAAGAGAGAAGAUAAUAAAUAAGUCAAUUUGGAUUCAGACAAGGUAAAUCUUGUGUCACAAAUUUAAUAUGUUUUUACUCAAGAGUAAUAGAUAUAGUGCAGGAGAGAGAAGUUAUGGGUGAGAAUGGAAAGAUGUUGAAAGACGGGGAAGCUGUGAAGGAGAGAUGGAGAGAAUAUUUCAAAAACUUAAUGAAUUCUGAGGAUGGAUGUCCAGCAGCUGUAACAGCAGCAGUUUUGAGUAGAGGUAGAGGAGGAGUAUAUAAAGAAGGAAGUAUAACAUAUGAAGAAGUAAAUCAGGCAAUAAAAAGAUUAAAAAAUGGAAAGGCAGCAGGAAUGGAUGGAAUCACAGCAGAAAUGUUGAAGUGUGGAGGAGAUGUAGUUGUUAAAUGGAUGGUCAAGAUAUGUGAAGUAGCAUGGGGGGGGGGGUGCCAGCAGACUAAAAAAAAACCCCAUCAUUGUCCCAGUUUACAAGGGGAAGGGCAGGAGAGGGGAAUGUGGGAGCUAUAGAGGUAUAAGUCUCCUGAGUAUACCCGGAAAGGUAUAUGGAAGUUAUAACAGAGAGGGUGCAAAGACUUACAGAAGAGAAAGUCACUGAAGAACAAGGAGGCUUCAGGAAGGGAAGGGGAUGUGUGGAUCAGAUAUUUGCCUUCAGGAUGGUAGUAGAAAAAAUAAUAGCAAAAGGAAAGCAACUAUACGCUGCCUUCAUGGAUUUGGAAAAAGCUUGACAGAGUCGAUUGGAUUGCAUUGUGGGAUGUUUUAAAGAUUUAUGGUGUGGGAGGAAAACUGCUUAGUGCAAUAAAGUCUUUCUAUGAGGAUGCAUCUGCAUGUGUCAAAAUUACUGGAGAAACAAGUGAACAUUUUGAGAUAAAAGUGGGCUUAAGACAAGGGUGCGUCAUGUCACCAUGGUUGUUCAAUAUUUAUAUGGAUGGUGUUAUGAGAGAAAUGAAGGGCAAAGUUGGGGAAGUUGGAGUAAAAAUGUAUGCUGAGGGAUGGAAGUGGGUGCUGAAAUCAAUCUUAUUUGCUGAUGACACAGUGCUCAUUGCAGAAAAUGAAAGUGACUUACAAAAUUUGGUCAGUGUUUUUGAUAGUAUAUGUAAAAAGGAGAAAGUUGAAAGUAAAUGUCAACAAAAGUAAAGUGAUGGUUUGUGAGCGGAGUAGAAGUGAGGUUGUGGAUUUUGUAUGCCCAUAUAGAGUGGGAAUUGAAGGUGAAAAGGAAUGCAAAAAUAAUUUUGAAUGGUGAAGAAAUGGAGGAGGUCAAUGAGUUUAAGUACCUUGGAUCAGUUAUGUGUAAGCAUGGUGGUAUGGAGGGAGAGACAAGAAGAAGGGCAUUGCAAGGAAGAAGGGUGGUAGGGUCUUUGGGACAUAUCAUGAAUGGCAGAAGUGUGAGCAUGGAGGUAAAGAGGGAUUUGAGAAAUACAAUAAUAGUACCAACCCUCACAUAUGCAAGUGAAACGUGGGCCUGGAAUGAAAGUCAGAGGUCUAGAGUGCAGGCAAUGGAAAUGAGUUAUUUGAGGAGUGCUUGUGGUGUGAGUAGAAUGGAUGGAAUGAGUAAUGAAAGUGUGUACGAGCGUUUUGGAAUGUGUCACAGGGGUGAAGGGAAGAAGUGUGGAGUGGA